AUUCUAUUCAAAUAACAAAAUUAAUUUAAAAAAUAUUUGGUCCUUUCGUACUAAAAUAUUUUAAUUAAUUGAAGAUAGAAACCAACCUGCCUCACGCCGGUUUGACCUCCAGAUCAUGUAA
rnacentral:rRNA from 1 species